rnacentral:misc_RNA from 1 species
CGGAUGAUGGAUGAUCGGGAAUCAUGACCCAAUUUUAUGAUCAGUGGCAUGAAUCUUGAAGAGGUCAAGACGGGUAUCCCCUAGUCUCAGAGAGUAAGCAGCUUUCUUGAAUUCACCCCAGGUGAAGGGCUUAUAUUGGCUGGGAUUUUGGGGUGACACCAUCUCUGGCAGAGGAGAAAUCCAUGCAUUUAGUGGUGGUGCCCCAAAGUACAUCGUUGACAUUCUUGCCUUCGUCGAGUUCGCCACUGCUCUGUGCCUCACGCUAGCAAGCCUCCCAUUCGUCAAAACCUGUAACGCGUCUCCAACAAUCAAGAAAAAUCCAGUGGGGUCAGGAGGGACAGGGACCCACAAACCAUCACGCAGGCAAAUUUGGAGGCCCGCAACAUCGUUGGAUCGUAAGAUGGUCAAGAUUUGAGGGUCAGAGUGCUCACCGAAUCCAAUCCUUUUAGGUGAUGGGUCCCAAUCCUUGACUUCUUUGACCGCUGGAUAGUGAUUAACCCUAAGCACAGAAUCGCUAUGGACGUCUCUCAUUAGCCUACUGAACACAUACUUAUCUUCCAUCCAUAAUCCCUCUGCCAAUAGAUCAAGAAUCUCACAUGCCAAUUCUCUAACUUCUUCUACGUAAUCAUUCACAGCACAACUGAAUUUUGCAGGGUCAGAACUGGAGAUGGUUCUUGAUCGCUCAGAAAUGGAGGCAGGAUUCGUUUGAAGGAGAAGAAAUUCAAGCUCACCCACAUCCCCCCCCCCCCCCCUUUGCCGGCGUUUUUUCUUCCAGCCAUAGCCGAAAGGAGUAGCAGGUCCAGCACGUUCCUUUUCUGCGGCUGGUUUUGCAAAAAAAUCAAGACCUUCCUC